rnacentral:lncRNA from 1 species
UCUCAGUUGUACGUCUGGUUGGAGCGGCUGAGUAUUUAAACUCGAGGACACACAGUCCCAGACACCCAGUCUCUGAGCCGCAACUCAGGACACCCAGUCCUCACCGUAUUCUCCUUGAACUAAGACCACGCAGGCCUCGUCCAAUCACUCGUGGUAAGUCUUCAGGUGACUUCCAAACCUUCACAGACUUGGUCACUCGGCGAUCCACAAUUCCUCUUGGAUGCUCUAGACCUUGACGCCUAACCAUCUGGAAGAAGCACAGUCUUCAAAGGUAACAAGCGUCGGAUCCACGCAGGAUCAAUUUCUUCAGUGAUGCUCAAUCACUUGGGGUUUUGUGGGUUUGGUUUUGGGAUUUUCCUCACUUGAUGAUUUUCGCUCAAAGUCCUCGGAGGAUGGGUUGCUCUCAAAUGACAAGUGUCAAGUUCUCUCGGAGCAGCCAACCAGCUAGUGGUUGUAGGGGGCGGCUAUUUAUAGCCUAGGGAGCAGCCCGACAUGAUAAGACAUAAAUGCCCUUCAAUGAUAUGACCGUUAGGUGGAUAAGAUAUUUUGGUCCGCCGGCGCGCAGCACAGCAACUGUCGGAAUUUGACUUUCAAAGUCCUCAGGGCUAUCAUGUUCCUCACUGUGUAGGCAAUUCGCACUGGCAAAUUCCUAACUCCUCAGUCAGAGCAAAGUCAUCAGUGACCAGAAGAACUGCGUCUCUGUCACUGAAGAAUUUGACUGAACUGUAUGAGAUUUCCAAUGGCUUCACUCGAAGGGAUUGGUAGGUGUAGGAUUUUGAGUUGAGCAUCACAUGGAAAUUUUUCCUUAGUAUUUCCUCGACCCCCUUUAACAGUACAGUGUUUCGUAUGACUCAAGAAAGAGAAAAUGAACCUACGAAAACAAAAGUCUUCACGCUUCAUAUUCCUCGAAUGAAUAUCAAGUCUUCAUGGUCACACCAAUUUCUUCACUUUCAAAGUCUUCAGAAAGUCUUCAGAAUAUCAAAGUCUUCAGUUGAAGAACUUCAUUUUUAGGGGUCGACUUUCUCUGUAAAUAUCAAACUCCUCAUAGACUUAUAGACCUGUGUAUACUUACAAAUGCAUCAGUUACUUAACCUAUAAGUCUUCAAUACACCAAAAUCACUAAGGGGCACUAGAUGCACUUACAAUCUCCCCCUUUUUGGUGAUUGAUGACAACAUAGGUUAAGUUUUCAACGGGGAUAAACAUAUGAAGUGUAAGUAUUGAUAUUGAGGAAUUUGACUGCAAGAUAUAGAAGAACUCCCCCUGAAUAUGUGCAUAAUGAGGAAUUUGCUGUUGAGGCAAUGCACAUUUGAAGAUUUGAAUCAUGGAGAUCUCCCCCUAUAUCUUGUAAUUCAUACACGCAUUUGAUAUAUAUACUAUGAAGAAUUUGAAAUGCAUGAUGAAAUAUGGUGCCUGAUGAGAUUCAGCAUGCAUGCAAUAGUAUUGACUAGGAAUAAGCAUGCGGAAUAUCACAUCAAAAGUAUCAGAGCUCAAAUAUCACAUUCAGAGCUUAGUGCUUCAAAAGCAUCAGAGCAUAACACGUAUCAGAGCAUAUCACGAAUCAAAAUCAGAGCAUCAGAUGCACGGUGCAAAGUCAGCACAAUGCACGAUCAAAAGUAUCAGGGCACCAUCGGAUUUAAGAUUACAACUCGAUCCAAUAAAAGUUUCGGAAGAACGAGAGUUGUAACUUAAUAAAAAAUGCCCAUAAUAUAAACCCGCUUGAAGACUAACUCAGAUUUCUCCCCCUUUGUCAUCAAAUGACCAAAAGGAUCGAAACUGAGGACUGACGCCCCUGAAGAUAUUCAAGUUGAUGGAGGAGCGCCAGCAUUGUCGGGGUUGGAUGUUGAAGUAGGGCCUGCCGUAGUGUCGUCCAAAUCUUCAUAUUCAUCAGUGUCGCGCGAUGAAGAAUAAGAGCUGGCCACCACAUCAGGAACUUUGACUCGUUUGAAUUUCUUUGGAGGUGGUGCAGACCAGUCAUAAGCUUCCUGAAGACCCAUAGUCUUCAAUUCUUCCGUGGAAUAGACAUGAUUCAGAACAGCCCAAGUGCGGUUGAGGGUUUCAAGAAGGUAGUACUGGUUUUUCUUCACUGCAUUAUGCGUUGAGGUCAUAUUGUGAAGAAUUGCAGCAAAUUGGCGCUUCACCCAUUUCUGAUUUCGAUCAACCUUCUGAUGAAGACUGAGGAGUAACUCACGAUCAGUCAUCACCCUGGGUGCUGUGGCUUGAGGCUGUUUCUUGGUUGAGGUAUUUGCGGCAGUAUCAUGCGUUGCAGAAUCGUCAUUGGUGGAGUAAGAUGCAGCCUUGCGAAACUGACCAUCCAAUGGACGAGUGCCUUCAUCAAUUACGGCUGCUGCCUUGCCCUUGUCAUCAGAUGAUGAAAUUGGUCGCUUCAGGACUUCAAUGGGCGGCAGGAAGCUGCCAUGGUUCAGAGUGUCAGCCUUGUAAUUCAGUGAAGAUCUUGCCCUUAUGAAUCGCAUGAUCCAAGGCGCAUAUGGCUUCAGCUCAAAAGGUGACAUUGGAACGUUGGCCAGAGUCCUCAUGAAGAAAUCAUGGAAGUUGACAGGAACGCCAUGAAUGAUAUUGAAAAGCAAGUUCUUCAUGAUGCCAACGACAUAUUCUUCAUUUGAGUCAUGGCCUUUGAUUGGACUCAAUGUCUUCGUCAAGAUUCGAUACACAGUCCGAGGCACAUACAGCAAAUCCUUGACGAGGAAUAUGGUUCGAGGGGCUUGGCCUGGCUUCAGCGGCUUCAUAAGCACUUGCAUAAAGUGAUCAGACAGUUCACGGUCAUUGUAUAGGCAACGAGCAGAUUCAUGGGGAGGAUCAAGAGGAAGGACAAGAAGCAAUUCCAAUCACAUAUGUCAGUGCAGAAAUUCAACAGCCCUGCAUCGUGAAGAACACGGAGUACUGGCUCGAAGGACGGUAGUGAUUCCAUAUCCACAUGAGGAAUAUGCUCAUGGUCGAAGAUCUUGUCCUUGUCAAAUAGCACUGAGGAAUAGAAAUUUGCUUGUGUUGGAGUCCAGAAGCGUCUUUUCCUCAUUCGAGCAGAGUCAUAAGGAUUGUAAGCAGUGAAGAACACAUGCUCAGAAAAGAAAUCUUCAGCCCUGAAUUUUUCCAUGCUUGAAAACGGAUUCUUCGGCUUGGGCAGAGGAAUAUCAGUGAUUUGAAGCACAACCUCAGGAAUCGCGAUCUCAGGUUCUUCAGGCUGAGGAAUUUCUGUUUCCUCUCCUUGUGCAAUUUGAGGAUCAGCAGUGGGUUCUUCAGCGCUAGUGGCUGGAAUCUCUUCGUUGACAGAUGAUGUGGGAUGAGUUUCUUCAGAGCCCAUUUGAACAGUUGAGGUAGGGGACUGAGGAACUUGUUGAAGCGGAGUGAAUAGAGGAGUAUUGGGAUGCUGACUUUCCCAAAAGUCAUCAUUCAUCACAGGUGUAGUGCACCCAAUAUCCACAUCUUCGUCUUCUUUUUCAAUUUCCACAACACCUGCCUCUUCAGCAGUGAAUUGAGGCACGGGUGAGGAAACAACAGGAGUUGAAGGGAAGGCUUCCACUUCAAUUUCUUCAUCAAGCUGUUCUGAGGUAGCAACAGAUUGAUUUUCUUCAUCUGAUCCACUUGGGAUCGUGUAUUCUUCUCCAAAGGGAACAAUUUCCUUGGAUGACAUGGAGGAAAUGGGAAUGGCAUCAAUAGGAUUUUCAAUCGAGCUGGUCAUUGGCUUCAUUUUCUUCGCAGCCGAAGAAUUUGACGCAGCUGAUGCCUUCCUUUUCCUCACUGUAGCUCGCUCUGCAGCCUUGGUCUUCUUCACUUCAUAGGCAGAAGGAAGAAUUGGAGUUGGUGUUGGCGCAGGAGGAGCUGAGGAUUGUGAUUCAGUUUCUUCAGGCGCAACUGGUGCAGUUGCCCUGUUUCCUUCAGUUUCUUCAGGCGCACCACUAGUGGAUGCCCUGGGAAUUUCUUCAGCGGCUGGAAUGGAGUCAUCAGCCCUGGAACUUGUGUUUUCAUCAGCACGCUGAAAGUCAUCAGCAGUGCAGGCAUGUUCAUCAGCAGGCUGAGCAGUUUCUUCAGCCUGAGGAUUUUCUUGUUGCGAUGGAGCUGCAACAGUUGACAUUUUCUUCGUCAGAGUGACGAAUCUCACCUUGGCUCCUUGCCAGUCAGCAUUGUAAGCAUCAACAUCCUUGCUGAGUGCUUGGAUUUCUGAUUGAGCUUUAAGAAGUUCUUCAGGAGACAAGUUGAUGAUGUUUUUCCUCAGAAGCUUCUCCUUUCUGGCUUUUGCUCUCUUCAGUUCACGAGCCUUUUCAAAUUUCCAUUUCUCUUCAGAGAUGAAAUGGGUCAGCAUAUGACUUUGACCAGGAGUCAGUGGCAGAUCCGGAAGAGGAGUGUGUGGAUCCUGAUGCCACAGGUCAAUGAAGUCAAGGAUCUUCUUCGGAUCCAAAAGCAGAGGCACACUUGUUCUUUUGGCUCUAGCGGCCUUGGUCAGUCUGUCUCUGAUGAUUUCUUCAAGUUCUUCAUCAGAGGCUUCAUCGUCAGAGGGAACGUUGAAUGCAACCUGUUUCUUCUUUGGACUAGGCCGAGGACCGCGUCCAGCUGUUGUUUUUGUCUUCAGCAGAGUGGGGCCUGUUGAGGACAUUGGUGCAGCUGAGGAACUUGCUGAAACACCAGAAGCAAUGGAAAAACCUUGAGUCCUUUGGCAAGUAGCAAGAUGCACAGGUGUUGAGGACUUGGAGGGGACUGCUGAGGAUUUUGCAUGAGCAGCAGCAGUCUGAGGAUUUUGCCGUGAGGGCGCGACUGAGGAACUGGGCCGUGAGGGCGCUGACGGUGAUGCACUUGGCUUGCGUGCAGGCUUCUUUGGCAUUGAUUUCCUCGGCUUGACCGAGGGCUCAGCAGCAGUAGCAGCAGCAGUAUCCUCAUUGAAUUUCCUCACUGCCUCCUUGGCCUGUCUUGCCAAUUUGGCUUGGCGCCUGGACCAUUCUUCAGGAAAGUUCUCACCACGCUUGAUGCUGGUGGGAUCAGCGACUUGGCCAGGUGCCAGAGGAGCUCUUGGGCAUGGAGGAUUUAGUGCGAAUUUCCUCAUGUACUUAGGAGUGACAUAGCGGUAUUCUCGCCAUUCUCGUGCCCAUCUCCUUUCUAUCCUCUGUAUGCGCACUUUGCGCUGGUUCUUGGUUUCCUUGCCAAACUUGGAUUCAUCAGGUGUGCAGUAGUCUGUGUAUAUUUCCUCAGGAAUUUCAAAAGCAGUCAUGACUUCCGGUUUCUUUCCUCCCUUCUGAGGUCUCUUGCCUUCUUCCAUUUUCUUUUGGUGAGGAAUUUGAACAAUUGAGCACUCUGAAGAAGUAUGCAGUUUUUCUUCGAGGAACGCUGCAAAUGAGGUAAGUUGAUGAGAACCUAGUGAUUCAGCAGCGGACAUGAGUACCUGUGAACAGAGUGUAGGUGCGAGGAAUUUGGAGAGGUCAUAUGCGUUCUCAGAAGAUUUUUCAAAAGAAGCAAGUUUUGAGGAAUUUGACCAGUUGAGCCUUGAGGAAUUUCACUAAGCGUUUCGUCUCAGGUUCCAGAGUUGUACAGAUUGAAAAUCCGCACAAUUGAGGAAUCUUGAAGAAAUGAAAUCUUAGGGAGAUAAAUCAAGAACAUACAGUGUGUGAGGUGUUCUUAUGUGAAGAUUUUGAAGAGCAAAAAAAACACCUUUGAAGAUUUUCAGAAGGAUUUGAGAAUCAACGCGAGUAAUAAAAGUGACUUUUAAUUACCCGAACUAAAGAACACGACGAACAGAGAUGAACUGGAGAGAAGUUCGUCACGUUAGAUCUUCCACGCCCUAACUUGGCAGAGGAAGAUGCCUACGACGGUGGCGGAGUGAAGAUUUCCGCAACCGGCGCGAGUACGACGGCGAUGAGGUCGAGGCAGUGAAGCUUUUCCUCACCGGCGGCGAUGGAGUAGCGGCGGCACUAGGGUUUGAGGAGAGCUCGAGCGAGAGACAGCGAUCGAGCGGAGUAAAUGAAGUGAUGAGGGUAAAGGGGUAUUUAUAGCCAUGGUGAAAAACUGUUCGCCCGAAGAUUUUGGACGAACAUGCCCCUACCCUUUUUCCUUCACGCGACGUGUGUCACCCACGUACUGUGCAGAUGAGAUCGUGUAAGAUCGUGGGUGAUUAAACUAAUACAUCGUGGGAUACGGAACGGUUUGAGCGGUAAAACCGAAAACUUGGAUAAGAUUUGUUUAAAAAGUUUCGUUCGCAAUUUCCUCAGCUGUCAAGGACCAGUGAAGACUUUGAACGAGUUUCAAUCAGAACGCACAUGAAGAAUUUGUGAAUAGAUUGGAUUGAGUAUAGCAUAGAGGGGAAGGGUCCGAUCACAUUCACUUAGCAGAAAUCGCAACUUGAAGAAAUAGCAAUAAGUGAAUGUUGUAGAGGACAUAAACUUAUAUAUAUAUAGCCAAUGAAGAAAGACAACGGAAAUACUGAAGAAUUUGCAAAGUUGAAGAAUUUGAAAAAUGAGGAAUUUCAAAACGAGGAAAAACUCAAAUUGAAGAUUUUCAACUUUUGUGGUGGCGUAGCCCACCGUAUAAGAAUGAUGAUUUCAGACACCGCGUACAAUUGUCGUAGGGUUCUGAGAAUCAAAUUCUUCAUUGAUUUCUUCACACUUAGAGUGUUAUUCUUCAUUGAUUGAGGAACAACGUUUCUUCAUGUGUUGCACAUCUAAGUCAUCAAUUAUGCAUAAGUGUUAGGAUGUGUAUCCUUUUCAAAGAACAUUCGAAGAUUCUAAGAUAUUUAGCUCACACCGCAACUUGCUAAAUCUCUUCUCAUCCAAGGGCUUGGUGAAGAUAUCAGCCAGCUGUUCUUCAGUAUUCACAUGCUCGAUGGAGAUAUCGCCCUUCAACACAUGAUCACGAAGAAAAUGAUGACGAAUCUGGAUGUGCUUAGUCUUCGAGUGCUGAACUGGGUUGUGAGCAAUCUUGACGGCACUCUCGUUGUCGCAGAGGAGAGGCACAUUCUUCACGUUGACGCCAUAGUCCUUGAGGGUUUGCUUCAUCCAAAGCAGUUGAGCACAGCAUGACCCAGCAGCAAUGUAUUCAGCUUCAGCAGUAGACAGUGAUACACAGUUCUGUUUCUUCGAGGAACAACAGACCAAAGAUCGUCCGAGGAAAUGACAAGUGCCAGAUGUUGACUUGCGGUCCACACGAUCACCGGCAUAGUCAGAGUCAGAAUAUCCAAUGAGAUCAAAAGCAGAGCCCUUGGGGUACCAUAAUCCUAGUGUUGGUGUGUGAGCUAGAUAUCGAAGAAUAUGCUUCACAGCCUUAUGGUGUGAUUCCUUCGAUGCAGCUUGAAAUCGGGCACACAUGCAAACACUAAGCAUUAUAUCUGGCCUAGAUGCACAUAAGUACAAUAAAGAACCAAUCAUGGAGCGGUAUACCUUGUGAUCGAAGUCAAUACAUUUUCAUCAGUGCAUAGAUGGCCAUUUGUGGGCAUAGGAAUUUUGACGCCUUUGCAAUCUUGCAUGCCGAAUUUCCUCAGUACAUCUUUGAGGUAUUUCUCCUGAGAUAUGAAUAUGCCAUUGCGCUGCUGACGAAUUUGAAGACCUAAAAAGAAUUUCAACUCUCCCUUCAUAGACAUUUGAUAUUCUUCACUCAUCAUAUAGAUAAAUUCAUCACUAUAUCGUUGGUUAGUACAGCCAAAGAUAAUAUCAUCAACAUAUAUUUGGCACACAAAUAGUUCACCAUCAUAUGAUUUAGUAAAUAGAGUAGGGUCGAGUGAACCAGGUGUGAAGCCAUUCUUCACGAAGAAUUCCUUCAAUGUAUCAUACCACGCCCGAGGGGCUUGCUUGAGGCCAUAGAGGGCCUUAUUUAGUCUAAAGACUUUGUCAGGAUUCUUGGGAUCUUCAAAACCUGGGGGUUGAGCAACAUAUACUUCUUCCUCAAGCUUAUCAUUGAGGAAUGCACUUUUCACAUCCAUUUGAUAUAAGAUGAUAUCAUGAUGGUUAGCAUAGGCAAGUAAAAUGCGAAUAGCUUCAAGUCUAGCAACAGGUGCAAAAGUUUCAUCGAAAUCAAUUCCUUCAACCUGUGUGUAGCCUUGAGCUACUAGUCGUGCCUUAUUCCUCACCACAAGGCCAUUUUCAUCUUGUUUGUUGCGGUAGAUCCACUUUGUGCCAAUGAUAUUAUGCUUGCGAGGAUCUGGGCGAUUUACCAAUUCCCAGACAUUGUUCAAUUCGAACUGAUGUAAUUCUUCUUGCAUAGCCUGAAUCCACUCCGGCUCCAGAAAUGCUUCAUCUACCUUAGUGGGCUCUGAGAUAGAGACAAAAGCAUAGUGCCCACAAAAGUUAGAUAAGUGUGAGGCUUUUGAGCGGGUGAGAGGACCUGGUGCGCUGAUGUCAUCGAUGAUCUUCUCCACUUGCACUUCUUUUGCAAAGCGUGGAUGAGUGGGUUGUCGCUGAGGAUUUUGAUCAGCAUUUUCUUCAGCACCAAUUUCCUCAUCACGUUCUUCAGGUGCAUCAGCUCGACGUUCUUCACGAACAGGAAUGAAUUCUUCACCAGAUUCUUUAGUAGGAAUGACAUCCUCAGUUGCCUUGAGCUUGAUAGCAUCCUCAGGUGCUGGUUCAUCUAACACAGAAGGUAGGUGCUCUCUUUGCGAGCCAUUAGUUUCAUUGAACCGCACAUCUACAGUGUCAACAAUCUUGUGAAGAACAAUGUUGAAGACUCUGUAGGUGUGCGAGUCCUUUCCGUAACCAAGCAUAAAACCUUCAUGUGCUUUCGGUGCAAAUUUAGAGUUGUGAUGAGGAUCUCUAAUCCAACAUUUAGCACCGAAGACUUUGAAAUAACUCACAUUGGGUUUCUUGUCCGUGAGGAGUUCAUAGGCAGUCUUCUUGAAGAAUUUGUGAAGAUAUACUCUGUUGAUGAUGUGGCAGGCAGUGUCAAUUGCAUCAAUCCAGAAACGCUGAGGCGUUUUGUAUUCAUCAAGCAUAGUGCGAGCCAUCUCAACAAGAGUUCUGUUCUUGCGCUCCACGACGCCAUUCUGCUGAGGAGUAUAAGGAGAAGAUAAUUCAUGAGUAAUACCAAGUUCAUCAAGAUAGGCAUCAAGACCAGAAUUCUUGAACUCAGUUCCAUUGUCACUUCUGAUAUGCUUGAUCUUCACACCGAAGUUGGUUGAAGCCCUCGAGGAAAAUCGUUUGAAGACUUCCUGCACUUCAUGUUUGUAAGUAACAAUGUGUACCCAUGUAUAUCGAGAAUAAUCAUCAACAAUGACAAAACCAUAUAGAGAUGCAUCAUUAGUGACUGCUGAAUAAUGAUUAGGUCCGAAGAGGUCCAUGUGAAGCAAUUCGAAUGGACGGGUAGUGGUCAUGAUAGUCUUUGCUGGAUGCUUGGCCUUGGUCAUUUUUCCGGCUUCACAUGCUCCGCAUAAGUGAUCCUUGAGGAAUUUGACAUUCUCAAUGCCAAUGACAUGCUUCUUCUUUGCAAGCGUGUUCAAAUUCCUCAUGCCUGCAUGACCAAGUCGUCGAUGCCAUAGCCAGCCUUCUGAAGCUUUUGCAAGUAGACACAUGGCUGGUUGUGGUCCUGUAGAGAAAUCAACAAUAUACAGAUCUCCUCUCCUAAAGCCUUCAAAGACUUUGGAAUUGUCAGCUUCCAUAAUCACAACACAGCGAUAUUUGCCAAAGACAACAACCAUAUCAAGAUCACAAAGCAUUGAGACUGACAUGAGAUUGUAUCCUAAGGACUCAACAAGCAUGACCUUGUCCAUGUGCUUAUCCUUAGAGAUAGCAACCUUACCAAGACCCAAUACCUGACUUUUGCCUUUGUCAGCAAAUAUGAUAUGCUUCAGAGGUGACGGUGAUAAAGGAGCAUCCAUCAAUAGAUUCUUGUCACCAGUCAUGUGAUUUGUACAUCCACUAUCGAGGACCCAUUCAGUGGUUUUGGGUUGAUCAUCCUGCAGAUGAAUUAGUGUAACUUACAAUCUCAUAUGCUUCAUCAGUGAAGAAUAUGAUAUCAAGUUCAUCAGAUGAAUUUCAUCAAGCAGUAGACAGAUAUAGCAGUAUGAGGAUGUGUGAAAUGAAAGUUCAUUUCAUCAUGAUUCGCCUGCGUCCUUUCAGGCAUUUUGUCAGGUCCCCAGCAAAUUCUUCAGACGUUCGAGCACGUCUGGAGACCUGACCCAGCAGAAAAGAUUAGUUCUUUUUCUUCGCCACCCACAUCUGGAGGGGUGGCAAAGAGUUCAUCAUCCUGCGUGCACCAUGUGAGAAAGGAGGCAAAGAUGCCAAACCGUUUCGCUUAGCAUAGGAAGGGUUAGGGUAAGCAUAUGAAUAAGCAGAGUAAUUCUUCGAGGACUUAUGAACAUAAUGGUUUGAAGAAUAAUGCACAUAUUCAUAGCCCUUAGCUUUACCCUGCGAGAUAGAUUUGUUAGCAUGGUGAUAAUCAUAUGAGGACUUUGACCCAGUUGAGGAAUUUGAUCCUCGUGAAGAAUUUGGUCCAUAUGAUGACUUGGAUCCAUAUGAAGAGUUUGGUCCAUAUGAAGAAUUUGAUCUGGGGUUCCUGUUCUUCACAGGUGGUGUCAUGAGGACAUUCACCUAAAGACUUUCAACACAGCUUUUGGGAACCCAGAUUUUCUUCAUAGGGGAACCGUUCCUGCAGUUAGUGCCAACAUAUCUAGCAAAUACUUCACCAUUCUGAUUUUUGAACAGUUUAUAGUUUGAAUCAAAUGACUCAUCAGAAGAAUGAGGGGAUUCACAUGUAAAGCCAGAUAAGUUAGAUGGAUCAACUGGAGGUCCCUUCGCAGCAACCCAUGAGGUUUUGGGAUACUGCUCAGGCUUCCAAUAUGUUCCAUCGGCAUUCAGUUUCCUCUCAAAGGCAAUACCCUCUUUCCUAGGGUUUCUGUUGAGGAUCUGCUUUUUGAGCACAUCACAAAGUGUCUGAUGCCCUUUGAGGCUUUUGUACAUGCCUGUCAUGUACAAUUCCUUCAGCCCUGCAUGGUCAGUGAUACUAGUAAAGUCCUCAUAUGAGGAAUUAAUGAUAGCAGAGGCAGAUGAAGAAUUUGUAACAUUUGAACCAUUUGAACAUUCAGGUGAAGAAUUAGCAGAUUCACGUUCAAUGCACUUUAAGCAUGGGGGAACAAAUUCUUCCUGAGAAGCGCUGAUUUGUUGAGCUAGUAAUGAAUCGCGCUCCUUCUGAAGAUCUUCAUAACAUACUCUUAGCUUUUCAAGAUCUACCUUUCUUUGAAUAGCUUCAAGAGAAAGCUUCUCAUUGUCUUGCUUUUCUUGAAGAAAUUCAUAAGAAAGUUUCUCAUGAUCAGACAAGAGAGAGUUAUGAUGACCUUGAAGGUUAUCAUACUUAGACUGAAGUCUCUGAAGAUUUUCAGUCAGGGCUUUAGUGCGAUCCAUUUCUUCACCCAACAUAUCAUCACUUUUAUCUAGCAUGUUUUGAACCUUUUCAAGAGCCCGUUGUUGUUUCACAGCAAUUUUAGCAAGUUUAGAGUAGCUAGGCUUAAGAUCCUCAUCAGAUUCAUUUUCACUGGAAUCAGAGGAGUUGUAUUUGAGUACCUUAGCGGCUUUUGCCAUGAAGCAAUAGGUGGGAGCGUAGCCAUCAUUAUCUUCAUCAGGCUUGUAGGUGGAACCAGUUUCUUUAGUGUUGAAGAUGGACUUGCUGACGAAAGCAGUAGCAACGGCCAGACUCGCCACACCAGACUCAGAUUCUUCAGACUCCUCUUCUUCAUCAUUUUCCUCAGAUUCAGCUUCAGAGUCCAUUUCCUUGCUAAUGAAUGCCCAAGCCUUCUUGGAGCUGCCCUUCUUGUGAGAUGAAGACUUUGAUGGUUUUGAAGACGAAGAUUUUGAUGAUCUCUUCUUCUUCUUCAUAUCAUCAGAACUGUAGUCCUUGUAUUUCUUCUUCUUCAUUUCCUUUUCCCACUAAGGACAAUCUUGAAUAUAGUGACCAGGCUUCUUGCAUUUGUGGCAAAGUCUUCUCUUGUAGUCACUGGAUGAAGAAUCACUUCCUCUUGAGGGUUUUCCAAAAUGACCACGUCUUGUGAACUUCUGGAAUUUCUUCACAAGGAGAGCUAGAUCCUGGCUCAGUUCUUCAGGAUCACCAAGGCUACUACCAGAAUCCUCAGAUUCAGAGUCAGACACAACCUUAGCCUUCAGGGCACGUGGUUUGCCAUAGUUUGAGCCAUAGUUUGAGCCACGUGACUUGCCACACCAGAUUCAGAUUCUUCAGACACCUCCUCUUCCUCAUUUUCCUCAGAUUCAGCUUCAGAGUCCAUUUCCUUGCCAAUGAAUGCCCGAGCCUUCUUGGAGUUGCUCUUCUUGUGAGAUGAAGACUUCGAGGAUUUUGAUGAUGAAGAUUUUGACGAUUUCUUCUUCUUCUUUGCAUCAUCAGAACUGUAAUCCUUGUAUUUCUUCUUCUUCAUUUCCUUUUCCCACUAAGGACAAUCUUGAAUAUAGUGACCAGGUUUCUUGCAUUUGUGGCACAGCCUUCUCUUAUAGUCACUUGAUGAGGAAUCACUGCUUCUUGAGGAUUUUACAAAGCGACCACAUCUUGAGAACUUCUGGAAUUUCUUCACGAGUAGUGCUAGCUCCUGGCUCAAUUCUUCAGGAUCACCAAGGCUACUACCAGAAUCCUCAUAUUCAGAGUCAGACACAGCCUUGGCCUUCAGGGCACGUGGUUUGCCAUAGCUUGAACCAUAGAGAUCUCUCUUUUCAGCAAGCUGGAACUCGUGAGUGUUAAGCCUUUCGAGGAUAUCAGCAGGAUCAAGUGACUUGUAGUCAGCACGCUCUUGUAUCAUCAGUCCCAGAGUAUCAAAUGAGGAAUCAAGCGAUCUUAGCAGUUUCUUCACUACUUCAUGAUCAGUGAUGUCAGUGGCACCGAGGGCUUGAAGCUCAUUUGAGAUGUCAGUGAGGCGAUCGAAGGUUUGUUGGACAUUUUCAUUGUCGAGUCUUUUGAAGCGGUUGAAGAGAUUCCGAAGAACAUCGACUCGAGAGUCACGCUGAGUUGAGACUCCUUCAUUUACUUUGGACAGCCUAUCCCAGAUAAGCUUGGCAGUUUCCAAAGCACUCACUCUUCCAUACUGUCCUUUGCUCAGAUGGCCACAGAUGAUAUUCUUCGCUUGAGAGUCGAGUUGUUUGAAUCUCUUCACAUCAGUAGCGGUCAGUGUUUCAGUGACAGCGGGGACACCAUUUUCCACAACAUACCAGAGAUCAUUAUCAAUUGCCUCAAGAUGCAUCUGCAUCUUGUUCUUCCAGUAGGGAUAGUCCGUUCCAUCAAAGGUAGGACACCCAGCCGAGACCUUGAUCAUACCUGCGGUCGACAUAACUAGAACUCCAGGUGGUUAAACCAAAAUCACACAGAACAAGGGAGUACCUUGCUCUGAUACCAAUUGAAAGUGCGUUAUAUCGACUAGAGGGGGGGUGAAUAGGCGAUUUUUAUGAAAUUCUUCACUGAGGAAUUUGCCGGUGAGGAAAUUCCUUAGCGAAGAACUAUUUGCAGCGGAAUAUGUACUCAGAGGUAAACAUAACAGAUUACACACAUAGUCAACAUGAUGAAAUUAAGACUAGAACAGAGUCCAGGAAGCGUAAACACAGGAUAACAAGAUGAAGACAAACAGACUGAAGAAAUUGAACUAAGGAAUUUGUGAAAGUCUUCAGUCAAAGUCUUCAAGCACAGAUAUGAACAACAUACAACACAGACUGAGGAAAUGGAUGAGUUGAGGAAAUAGAACCAGUCAGUUGGUGAAGACAAUGAUUUGGUAAACCAGUUCCAACUGCUGUCUCAGUUGUACGUCUGGUUGGAGCGGCUGAGUAUUUAAACUCGAGGACACACAGUACCGGACACCCAGUCUCUGAGCCGCAACUCAGGACACCCAGUCCUCACCGUAUUCUCCUUGAACUAAGACCACGCAGGCCUCGUCCAAUCACUCGUGGUAAGUCUUCAGGUGACUUCCAAACCUUCACAGACUUGGUCACUCGGCGAUCCACAAUUCCUCUUGGAUGCUCUAGACCUUGACGCCUAACCGUCUGGAAGAAGCACAGUCUUCAAAGGUAACAAGCGUCGGAUCCACGCAGGAUCAAUUUCUUCAGUGAUGCUCAAUCACUUGGGGUUUUGUGGGUUUGGUUUUGGGAUUUUCCUCACUUGAUGAUUUUCGCUCAAAGUCCUCGGAGGAUGGGUUGCUCUCAAAUGACAAGUGUCAAGUUCUCUCGGAGUAGCCAACCAGCUAGUGGUUGUAGGGGGCGGCUAUUUAUAGCCUAGGGAGCAGCCCGACAUGAUAAGACAUAAAUGCCCUUCAAUGAUAUGACCGUUAGGUGGAUAAGAUAUUUUGGUCCGCCGGCGCGCAGCACAGCAACUGUCGGAAUUUGACUUUCAAAGUCCUCAGGGCUAUCAUGUUCCUCACUGUGUAGGCAAUUCGCACUGGCGAAUUCCUAACUCCUCAGUCAGAGCAAAGUCAUCAGUGACCAGAAGAACUGCGUCUCUGUCACUGAAGAAUUUGACUGAACUGUAUGAGAUUUCCAAUGGCUUCACUCGAAGGGAUUGGUAGGUGUAGGAUUUUGAGUUGAGCAUCACAUGGAAAUUUUUCCUUAGUAUUUCCUCGACCCCCUUUAACAGUACGGUGUUUCGUAUGACUCAAGAAAGAGAAAAUGAACCUACGAAAACAAAAGUCUUCACGCUUCAUAUUCCUCGAAUGAAUAUCAAGUCUUCAUGGUCACACCAAUUUCUUCACUUUCAAAGUCUUCAGAAAGUCUUCAGAAUAUCAAAGUCUUCAGUUGAAGAACUUCAUUUUUAGGGGUCGACUUUCUCUGUAAAUAUCAAACUCCUCAUAGACUUAUAGACCUGUGUAUACUUACAAACGCAUCAGUUACUUAACCUAUAAGUCUUCAAUACACCAAAAUCACUAAGGGGCACUAGAUGCACUUACAACUAGUGGUCUUGUUAACCAUCAACACUUGAUGUUCUUUCUUGAUUUCUACCUUCAUCGAUUUCAUCAUCAUGAAAAAACUCGGGAAUCAUUUUCAUCAUCCCUUGCAUACUAUAGUUCAUCAUGAAGUUCUACUAACUUGGUGAUGGUGACUAGAGAAUUCUGUCAAUCACUAUCUUAUCUGGAAGAUUAACUCCCACUUGAUUCAAGCGAUUGUAGUACCCAGACAAUCUGAGCACAUGCUCACUAGUUGAGUGAUUCUCCUCCAUCUUUUAGCUAUAGAACUUGUUGGAGACUUCAUAUCUCUCAACUCGGGUAUUUGCUUGAAAUAUUAACUUCAACUCCUGGAACAUCUCAUAUGGUCCAUGAUGUUCAAAACAUCUUUGAAGUCCCGAUUCUAAGCCAUAAAGCAUGGUGCACAAAACUAUCAAGUAGUCAUCAUAUUGAGCUAGCCAAAUGUUCAUAACGUCUGCAUCUGCUCCUGCAAUAGGUUUGUCACCUAGCGGUGCAUCAAGGACAUAAUUCUUCUGCGCAGCAAUGAGGAUAAACCUCAUGUCACGGAUCCAAUCCGUAUCAUUGCUACUAACAUUUUUCAACACAAUUUUCUCUAGGAACAUAUCAAAAUAAACAUAUGAAAGCAACAACGCAAGUUAUUGAUCUUACAACAUAAUUUGCAAAAUAC